AAUUAGCCCCUACCCAACCCCAAAUCAGGUCGACUCGACCUAAUCUAAUACCCAAACUCAUUUCCCCACCUAAAACAAAACCUAGACCUAAUAUACAAAAUACAAUACAUACAUAUACAUAGAAGACAUGCUUAGAAAUUGAGAGAAGGGAUGCGCAGCUCUAGCUUCUUCUUAACAAAAUAAACGCCUCUAUACACGAUAUAAUACACGCCUGGAAGAGGCAUAGCUGCGCAGGAGAUCCUGUUGGCGGCUUUCUUCUGAAGCGAAGACAGUGGUGUAACUCAGAGAAGCGACCGACCUCUCUUGAUUUUCUAGGGAGAACCCACACAAGGCAACAGCCAUAAGUGAAUUCUAGCCAUUAUCGAAAUCUAGCAGGCGGAUUUAGUCCUCUUUAACGUCCCUCUCUCUUUUCUUUCAGAGCCGCUGCUGCGUCCCCGUUGUCCAUGGCGAAGUGACCGGUGACGACGCCCUCUCUCCUCCCUCAGUUUUGUUUCCAUCACUGAUUGAUGUGACGAGCCAUGGUCAAAAUGACCUCAUUCCUCUUCUUCCCCGCCCUAUGUCAUCGUUAACAGUUUGGUGACAGAUCUGGCCGGAAAAACGCCAUGAACGGCGACCUCCAUACAUACGUACCAAAAUAAAAAUAGAACAAGAAAAUCUGUACAGAAAGUUGAUGGAAGAAAAGUUGCUUUUAGGUUCGAAUUCCAGUUGCCAUUCGUUAGAUUUUUGUUUCUGCUACGGUUGGUUAAGACACGGCUAAGUCCAGGUUGUUUGGUCUCCGGUUCGAGUUCCGUCCAUGAGAUCGUCAGAUUGAGUUCUUUUAUUUUCCAUGUAAGGUUAAUUUCAAUUUUCUAAUGUUUUGAUAAUACCACUGCAUUGGUUGGUCAAUUUUGUCGCUAUUGAUUUGCAUCUCCUUGUUAUUCUCAUUCGUAUGUAUUCACAAUUGUCUCUGUAUGUACAUGAACUGUUUUGUCUGGUAAUUUGUUUCACUUCUGCAUUUAUCUAGAAGAAUCUAACCUCUUAAC
rnacentral:lncRNA from 1 species